ACCACACGGCCCACACCACAGUCGCGUCACCACCACCACCAAUACAAACACCACCACAGCCAUACCCGCUAUGAAAUCCCAUCCCCAAAUAAAUUGUAAUUUUACAUUUAUUUUAACAAUUUAUGAAAUUACAAUUCUACCCUAUAUCUCUAACCAAACUGAAUCUACUUUUUAAAUUUUCUCUGAAAUUUCCUCCUCUCUCUGUUUGCUUAUCUCUCAUUCUUUCUCUUCUUCCCGAGCACUUUCCUUCUCACUCUCGAAUCUCUCUCGCAGCUUACUCUUUCCCCUUCUCGAUCAAUACCCACACACCCGGACACCCCCACACCCAAGGAAAUCCAUCGGCGACAACACCACGACACUCACCAUUGUGGUAGCACUCUCUUUCCCUCUCUCCUUGCCUCUAUGGAACACAGAGAACCCUCGGCGAGCCGUAGUGUUUGAACCCAAGUUCGGCCACCUUUGGCCAUUUCGAAGUGAAUCGAAGGUGCAUUUAUUAGCGGCGAUUCCAUCAUUCCUAUUUCGCACGACUCUUCGACGAUAGAGUAUCUACAUAGGAACGAGGUGUACAAUCCGAGUUACGAGACAUUCCCCUACCGAUGGCUAUUGCAACUCCUACUCAAACCGUUUCUGUAAACGUUUCCUCUCUCUCUCUCUCUCUUUUGUGUAGCAUUUUUAUUAAUUUAUACCACAUAUUAUCAAUACACAAACUAUGAUUCAGUGCAAAACAGAGCAGAUUAAUAUAGCUGAUAAUGUGAUUAAUUAGUUGUGCUUUUUGUUUGUUUUAUAUAUGUAGAAUUAUGAAUGAGAUUAUAAGAGGAAGUUUGCGGAAGUGAGUAGGAGUGCCUACGGGCCUCGACUUGUAGGGAAAAGGAUCCUCGGGGAUCCCGCGGAUUCUGUGAUCAGUCAUUCAUCGUACAUCGUGCGCCACGAUUACGGGAUUCCCAGGAAAAUGAUCCGGCAAGGAUCCUUUUCUGACUUGUAGUGUUCACGAAACUGUCGACGUCAAUUUCAAAGAUGUUCUAUAUCCCGAAGCAGACAGUUCAGCCAACCCUUUAAGGAAGAGCAAGAACCGAGUUACCGAAGGAAGAACACACCAACAAGAAAGAUUUCUCCUGUCUCCCCAUCAGCUAUUUCUUUUACGUUAUGUAUACGCUUUAGAUCACUUUUCAUUGCAUUUGCAAGAUUAUCUUAUAUAGUGAAAUACAAAUGCAAACAAGCUCUCGUGAAUGUAGCCGAUUUGGUGAAAACUUAAAUUCCCGUGUUCAUUUGUGUAAUUGUAACAUCCCAAAUGAUCUAGCAACCAACACAGUCUGUCUCCAUCACCUCUCCAGUG